rnacentral:rRNA from 1 species
GACGAAGGGGGCUAGCGUUGUUCGGAAUUACUGGGCGUAAAGCGUGCGCAGGCGGUUUUGUAAGUCUGACGUGAAAUCCCCGGGCUUAACCUGGGAAUUGCGUUGAAGACUGCAAGGCUGGAGUCUGGCAGAGGGGGGUAGAAUUCCACGUGUAGCAGUGAAAUGCGUAGAGAUGUGGAGGAACACCGAUGGCGAAGGCAGCCCCCUGGGUCAAGACUGACGCUCAUGCACGAAAGCGUGGGGAGCAAACAGG